GACCCAAAAGUAUGCUGAAGUGCAAGUUCGGUAGUAAAACUUAAUGUGUUUGUGGGUCU
rnacentral:tRNA from 1 species